UACAGAGGUCUCAAGCGUUGUUCGGAUUCAUUGGGCGUAAAGGGUGCGUAGGUGGUGAGGUAAGUCGGAUGUGAAAUCUCCAAGCUUAACUUGGAAACUGCAUUGGAAACUACCUUGCUUGAGGGUUUGAGGGGGGACUGGAAUUCUCGGUGUAGCAGUGAAAUGCGUAGAUAUCGAGAGGAACACCGGUGGCGAAGGCGAGUCCCUGGAAAACACCUGACACUGAGGCACGAAAGCUAGGGGAGCAAACAGG
rnacentral:rRNA from 1 species